rnacentral:tRNA from 3 species
GCGAGUUUAGCUCAGUUGGUAGAGCGCUACCUUGCCAAGGUCGAGGUCACGAGUUCGAAUCUCGUAACUCGCUCCA